ensembl:lncRNA
GAAAGACAAAGCAAAACCACGUAGCUGUGACUUCAAAGCGGCUGCAGGAAGGUUUAGCUUACACGUGAGACGUGUUCCAGCUUUGAUGCACAAACAGUUUGUCACCGUGAGAGUCAUCAACAGACAAAGUCAUCACAAAGGUCCUCAUCCGAAGCCUCAAGCAGCAGUUUGGAUAAACCAGUCAUUUUGGCAGCACGUGGCCUUGACAGAGCUGCAGUCAUCAAAGGUAGGCCUGCAGGAAUAAACCUUUCCCGAUGUCUGUUCGGUGGUGUAGCAGCCAGUAACUGGACUAAACACUCAUCAGAUAUAAGAAAAAAAGACUUCUUCGUUAGCUGUCCUAAGUUUGGAGCCAGAUGACACUGAUCACCUACAAAGCAAGACCGUGAUCAAAAUUACCAGAAAUGUCAGCUAACAUAGUAACCAACAAGAAUGCCACAGGAAUGAUAAUGAUAUUCUCCAAACUUCUGGAUUUCUGAGAAAGUGAUCUCGGCUGUACAGUUCAUGUGCUGGAGGAGGAAAAUAGUGGUGCUGUCAACGGCAUGGAAAGGACGAGGGCACAAUGGUAAAGUGCUGCCAGAGCGAUGGUGGCUGAGACGCAGCGGAGCGGAGGUAGAGACAAUUCAUAAUGGAUAUAAGGAAAUUUUUUCAAAAAAAGGAGCCACAUUCAGUCCAAAGAGGGAGAGAGGAAAGAGGGGAACAUGAGGAGAAAGUACAAGGUCAGGAAGAACCAGGUAAGAAAACAGACAGGGAACAGUGACAGGCAAAACAGAAACUGUUAAACUGACAAAGAGAAAAAACCUGAUUUUACUCAUACAGUCUGGAAGUUGUGUCCUCCCUAUAUUAAAGCUGCUAUACAGAAUCUGCAAAACAAACUGGGUUGAAACAUUUUUGACCCUCUUUAACAACAUUCCAACAUAACAUUAUCAUUGAUUGGGGAGAUUAAAAUUAAUGACAUAUUUUUAUGUGGUUCAGCCACAACUCUACUAACAUCUCAGCCAGUAAUAGUUAGGCCAACUCUUGGACCGCCCAGUUGUCUGUAUGACUGCAGUACGUGCACCACAUUUGCGCACUGAAUCAGAAAGUGACAAACAGCCCUGGUGGAGUGAGGAGCUGUAAAGAGAAGCAGAGUGCUCUGUUUAUAUUCUAAAAGUGUUUUAAGCUAGCUUGUUUCAAAGAUUCUGUACUGCAGCUUUAAAUGUUUUCCAAAAGCACACAUACACUUAUCAGUGUUUCUCAAACUUUUUACAGUGUGUACCAUUGGGAAAAUGUCAAGUUCUCCCAAGUACCACUAUGAAAGCAUGAAACUCAUAAAUCUUACAACACAAAAUUAGUCUUAUUGAAUUAGUCAAAUUAGUAUCGGCAGUAAAGAUUUUUUCAUAUAUUGUAUACAUUCUACCACAGGCAAAGUUGCCUCCAUUUUUAUAUUUUUUAAUUAAUAUUUUGUAAUAAUUUAUUUGUAAUAACUUAUGUUUUGGGAGUAUUUUUUUAUGUAUCUGUAUUAUAUUAUACAUACUCAUUAAAAGUGAAUCUCUGUCCAAAAUAUGCACUCAGUUUACUUUUUACUCACUAUGAGCAUCAUUCAUUAUUCUCCCCCAGUAAUUAAGGAUAGGAUAUGGUUUUUUUUUUUAUUCCAAUCCAUUCUUCUUUUGCAGCAUUUAAAUAACCUUUAUCAGAUUUGAUGGUUUUGUUACAGCCUUUUAAAAAGGUGUUUUGCUUUUCUUUCACAAAUGUGGGGAUUAAAUUGUGUUAAAAUGUACAAAACAGUGAUGUCAUGUUUUGUGACGAGGACCCAGGCACAGAGAGACUUGAUGAAUUUAAGAAUCUUAUGAUUUAAUAAAGAAAUUUACAGACUUGCACAGAGAUGGUAAAAUUAUGAUGACUGAUAACAGAGACGAAGACAACACACAGCGAGGACUGGGAGAAACAGGGGUUUAAAUGCACCAAGGAGACAGUCAUAGAGAACUCGGGACAACUGGAGACAUUUAAGUAUGCAGGGACUGACAGAGACGGGGAAGAAGUCUCAUCGUGAUGUGUAAAGUUUAUUUUGCCUGGCUGGGCAGCUCUCUGGGUGCUCAGCACCCCCAAAGCUCUGAUCCUAGAAUCGCCCCUGACUACAUCCAGGACAGAAACAACUGCAUUAUGCUGCUAACACAACUUUGGCUUUUUGCAAGCACCUGCACAGACAGCAUGCUAACGCUAAUCCAGCCAAGAACUCAGAAUGAUGUUAAAGCUGAGUGAAUGGCGACCCCAGCCCAGCAGCCAGACGCUAAAGUUUAACAGGUAACAAAAGCAGUGAUGAGCAUUCAGACUAUAGCCUCCAUUUCUACCUGCUCAUGUUUCUAGAUUAGAAUCACUGCGGCAGUCACUUUUAAGAAAAGUGUUCUGUGUAAUAAAUUACUGUUUUGAGUAACAAUAAGUGAUUAGUGAUAUUGAAAAUGGAAUCGGAAUUAUUCGAUUCUUAUCUAUUCCUGUCCCCACACAGUGCUGUUCAUUCUUUCUGGCCAGAUAGACUGUUUGUCCUUGUUAUGUUUAAUCUGUUUGUCUCCUUUGUUCAUUUAUUUUUUAGUCAAG